rnacentral:rRNA from 1 species
GUGGUCCCAAGUCAGGCGAGGCCCACCCGCUGA